UCCGUAGGCGGGCGUCUAAGUCAGUGGUGAAAUCAUACAGCUCAACUGUAAAAUUGCCAUUGAUACUGGAUGUCUUGAAUUAGUGUGAAGUGGUUAGAAUGUGUAGUGUAGCGGUGAAAUGCAUAGAUAUUACACAGAAUACCAAUUGCGAAGGCAGAUCACUAACACUAUAUUGACGCUGAGGGACGAAAGCGUGGGGAGCGAACAGGAUUAGAUACCCUGGUAGUCC
rnacentral:rRNA from 1 species